UUUGUCAUCCUCUUUGUUGAAUGAAUGAGGCCCAAUAACAAAUGUUUCAAUAAUUAAGGAGUGAAGUCCCACCACCUGUUACCAAAUGCUCCCAACUUUUACUACUAACCUAUUAGCCAUCUCAUCUAACCUGGCCUAUAUUUCAUCAAUUCAUUAAAAUGUCAUCCACUUUGCCAGCCUAAACUAUACUUCUCAAAAGAGCGUAUAUUUUCUUAGAAAUGACCUUGUAUUUGUAGACUAUACUAACCUGUACAAAUAAAGGGGCCUAUUUAUG
rnacentral:lncRNA from 1 species